CAAACCGCAUUCGGCAACGUUUAUGGAUCAUCGCCGUUUGUCAUUGCGGCGACACGUGUCACUCGAGGAGCCAGCACUAGGCCAGCUUCACGUGGUCUGAUCAUGUCCACUGUGCGUCAGACAGGUGCCUCGAAGCCCGAAACACCCGACAUGCCGUGGACUCCGACCUCCUCUGAAGAGCCUCUUCCGUUACGAUAGGAAUGGACCAGGUUUUGGUGGACUUUAAAAGCGUGUGCGUUCGCAGCGUCUGUAUCGGUGCGGUCUUGGCGGUGCUCAAUCGGUCGCGCUGGCUAUGGGAAAAGAAGGGGGCUUGUCCUAAUCGGCCGUUUUCCUUGCCACGAGACUAAAGUUCGUCUUUUGUAAAAUGCUUAUCCCAGUCCUAGUGCAGUAGCGAAACCGCAAACAUUAUUCCUGAGACGUCUUUUCCGAAACGAAAUUACGUUACUCCUCAGUUGCUACAGUAACGACGCAGGAUUUCUUGGACGGAGAUGCCCGCACCAAGACCCGACGCGAUGGUCGCUGAUAUUUAA